rnacentral:sRNA from 1 species
UUCUGAGAGUCCCAGGCCCACAGGCAGGACAGGGCCAGAUGUGGGGGCUGCUCCUCACGGCCUUACCUCCCCCAGACGUGCCUCUCAAUCCCUGACAUCAAGACGGCCUUCAGCGACUGCACCAGCAAGAUCGGCAGGCGGGACUGCCUGACCCAGGCCUGCUCGGCCCUCACAGGGUGAGUGGGGCUGCACCUGCGGGGGCUUUGGGGACCAAGACCCCCCGCCUCACACCCCCUGUCUUCACAGCAAAGGGGUGCGCGAGGGCAUCGAGUGGAUGGUGAAGUGUGUCGUGCGGAAUGUGCACCGGCCGCCGCGGCAGAGGGACAUCACGUAGGCGCAGCCGCGCUGCUGUUGGGACGGCUGGUCCCCUGGUGCUGGAGGAGUGGCCUCCUGUUGGCUCCCAUGCUGCUGAUCUGGGGGGUGGGUUUGCUUUGCUUUGGGGGUUUUCUAUUUUCUUUGUUUUCUCGAAGACAAACUUUCCUCUGUCUGGAAAAGCGUAGGCAUCCGGAGGCUUUGGAGGGGAGUCUGGCAGCCCGGCUGGCCCAGGCCCUGCAGCGGCAGCCUUUCCACAGCGCGCAGCGGCGGCCUUUCGAGGCCCUUUCUGGGGGGUCUGAGGGAGGCCUGGUUGGGAAUUGGGGCUCCAGUGCUCAGGCUGGCUUGGGCUGCAUGGGGACAGCCCUGUGGGACCCUCGGGAGACCCUGUGGCUGUCUGUCCGCCCCAUCGAGGAGGAGGCCUGUCAGCGCUGGGGAGACCCCGUGGCUGUCUCCGCCCUAUCAAGGAGGAGGCCUGUCAGCCAUGGCUGCCAUCUGGCUUCUGCCCUGUGACCCCGUGACCCUGGAAGUGGUCUGGGGUUGAUCUUGCCUUGAGGAAGACCCAGGCCAUGUCCCCAAAGGCCAGCGGGGGCCCUGGAUUGUGAUGCAGCCUCGGGACAGGGCUGAGGAGGCCUGUGGGGGAAGACAUAUACCCCACGCCUGGGCCUGGCUUCACCUCAUUUUAAUCCUCCAGGAGGGAGCUGACUGAUGCAAAAAGCUGAGGGGGCCUGCUGGGAGUGGCUGUUUUUAUGCCCCAGCCCUGCAAGUUGGGGAGUGUUUGUGGGGGUCCAGAGCCCUCUCCCAGCCAGGAGAGAACCUCCUGGAGGGGUUCUCUGUGGGGCCGUGUCAGUGCUCUGCUGGGCCUGCAUCCCCUGCUGGGGAGUAAGGCUGGUCCUGGGGUCCUCCCUGCACAGCCCCCACUAGGCCUGCAGAGGGCUCUGUUCUUCCUCAGUCUGGCUGUGGGCGGGAGCCGCCUGCCCAGUGCCACCCAGGGUGAGUGCAAAAUAAAGACGGCCAGUGUGGCUCUGUCCAUCCCUUCCCUCCUGGAGGGCCGAGGCUCCUGGCUGUUGGACACGG